GAUGAACGCUGGCGGCGUGCCUAAUACAUGCAAGUCGAGCGAACUUUUGGGAGCUUGCUCCCAAAAGUUAGCGGCGGACGGGUGAGUAACACGUGGGUAACCUGCCUGUAAGACUGGGAUAACUUCAGGAAACCGGAGCUAAUACCGGAUAACAUUGAAGCCCACAUGGCCUUCACUUAAAAGUUGGCUUUUAGCUACCACUUACAGAUGGACCCGCGGCGCAUUAGCUAGUUGGUGAGGUAACGGCUCACCAAGGCGACGAUGCGUAGCCGGACUGAGAGGGUGAUCGGCCACAGUGGGAAUGAGACGCGGCCCAGACUCGUACGGGAGGCAGCAGUAGGGAAUCUUCCGCAAUGGGCGGAAGUCUGACGGAGCAAAGCCGCGUGAGCGAAGAAGGGCUUCGGGUCGUAAAGCUCUGUUGUUAGGGAAGAACAAGUAUCGUUCGAAUAGGGCGAUACCUUGACGGUACCUAACCAGAAAGCCACGGCUAACUACGUG
rnacentral:rRNA from 1 species